UUUAAUUCCAAAUUUCCACUGUAAUUUUUCGAUAUUGUGGUCUAGGUUUGACAUAUUUGUUUUUCCUUUCUAUAACACUUGCAGGUUGUCUAUGGCUCAGUGGAAUUCUGGGCUAGAUAGCUUACAACUGGUAUCAGCACGGCAUGGAGACCAAUGUGAGGAUCAUUCACACCAGUUGUUUGAUACUGGAGUGUUUCAUGAUGAUCCUUAUCGUUUCCCGAUUUCAUGAUGCUGCAUAUCAACUUGAUGAGGACUAUAGUGAGAAUGGUGAUACUUAAGGAUAUUUUAUCUAUAUUAUAGUAAUCUCGAAAUGAAAACAUAGAUAUUUUUGUAUUUUGUAACUACACCGAAUUGUGAACCUUACAUUAGUUUAUAUUACAUGAAUUUUGUGUUGUUCCUA